GGGGAUUUAGCUGAGUGGCAUAAGUACAUGCCUUGCAAGUGUGCAGUCGUGAGUUCGAUUCACAGUACCGA
rnacentral:tRNA from 1 species